rnacentral:rRNA from 1 species
GACAGAGGGUGCUAGCGUUGUUCGGAAUGACUGGGCGUAAAGGGCGCGUAGGUGGUUUGUCAAGUCAGAUGUGAAAGCCCCGGGCUUAACCUGGGAACUGCAUUCGAUACUGGCAGACUGGAGUACGGGAGAGGAAAGCGGAAUUCCUAGUGUAGAGGUGAAAUUCGUAGAUAUUAGGAGGAACACCAGAGGCGAAGGCGGCUUUCUGGUCCGUAACUGACACUGAGGCGCGAAAGCGUGGGGAGCAAACAGG